GAGGAGGAGGAGGAAGAGGAAGAGGAAGAAGAAGAAGAGGAGGAGGAACAGAUGGCAGAAGAGGAACUUGAAGAUGGCAUUCAGUCUGUUGACAGCCUUUCAAGCACUCCUACUGGCGUUGAAACCCCUGAUGUUAUUGAUCUUCGAAAGCAGCAGAGGAAGGAACCUGAUAGGCCUCUCUACCAAGUAAUUAUUUUUCUUUUUUCCUUACAUUGUUACACCUUAUUUUGAAGGUUUCUAGAUGAAAAAUCUUUCCAUUUCAGGUAGCUUCUUUGCUUGAUUAUGUAUUUCUUUCUACAUUUUAUGCCUGCUGGAUUAUAGAUUCAUUUCAGGUUCAAGAGAUUCUGCCUGAAGUAUAAAGGUUACAAGUCUAUUGGUGCUAGAAACAUUGUAUGAUAGAUUUUUGUUUUAGCUAUAAGGUUGUUGGUAUUUUCAAUUUUGAAUCGGAAUAUGCAAUGAUGAUGUAUACUUGAUAUUUGGUUCAUUUGUAUAAUAAUGUAUGAAUUUCUUGGAUGAUAUAUAAUAUUGUUAUCGUUGAUUUUA